UUCAAAACCCUGAAGAAUAUAUAGAGAGUCAUUCUUACUAAGGAAAAAUCAGUUGCUCAAAUGGUGUUCUUCGGGUGGAAAAAUGCACUGUCAAGGUCCCGACCGUCGAGGCGGAGGCCAUCCUCAUCGUCCAGACCGUCCAGGCCAUCCUCAUCGCUGUCCUCUGAGGACAACUGUUUAGAAAUCGGGUGUUGCUGCAUUUUCGGGUCAAUCGCCGCCAUUGUCACGUCCUUGUUCUAUGGGCUGACAUGUUGCUGCUGCUGCAAUAUGUGUGGGACUUGCUCUUGCUUGGAUGAAAGUGAAACCUCCGAUCCCAAUCCACCAGCAAACGAGCCAACAAUAAAGACAGAAGACAAUAAAAUAGCAAAAGACUAAAAAAAAAAAUUUGAAAGGAAGCCCGUCGAUGUAUUUUCCUUUUCUGAGCUGCCAGUUCUUGUUGGUUUUCCUUAUACUUUGGAGUUACGUCGAUUGCAUAUCGACAGUCUACCUUCUCAAUAAUGGCAUAUGUGCACAGUGCACCUAUGUGUAAUUUUUUUCCUGCUCCUAUUAAUAAUCAAAGUUCAUUGCAAGAAUUACCUGAAA